UUUUGCAAAGGAGGCCAGAUUUGGUGGAAAACAUAGUUUACUUCCAUUGGUUGUAAAUUCCCACCCGUUUUUGGCCCUUGAACACAUCUGGGCCACGCUCCCCACCUUCACUUCCGGUUGCAGCCUUGCCGGGCUCAUUAGUGUAUAUAGGCACYGGGUGUGCACGCCAAUCUGAGUGUGUUUGUCGGGUCCGUUGUGUUGUAGUUGGCUCUCGGUCAGAUGAGCGCUGGCGCCGUGCUCAUCGGGUUGCUGGAGAGUGUUCGGAUCGUGGACAUUUGAUACUGAUUGCUGCUGUUGCCUAUUGUGCUCCCACCAAGUGCAUGGGUUUUGUAGUUAGAUGCUCUUAAAGAAUAGGUCAUCUUUUAGGGAUGGAGUUGUAGCACGAACAGUGCAGAACCAGAAUAGUUUAUAGCUCCUUAUUUUUAUUAGAUUAUUGGGCACAGCCUUAGGACUGGGUUGGGGAAAUGUGGGAUUUGUUUUUCUUUUGUCUAACAUUAUUUUGUGUUUCUACUAAUUUGGUUUGCAUUUGUUUUGAUUCCAAUUGCUUCUAGUCUUGUCCUGGGGUUGAGCUUUGAGUUUUUAAUUAGAAUAAUAAAGUCUACUUUUAAUAUUGUAAGAGAAUGUAUAAAUAAAAAUAUAUUUUGUA